GAUGCGGCUUACGAUGGGGCAGGCUGAGCACCGGUUGAUGGAUUUCCUGCUAGCUUCGCUGGAGAUUAUUCGACGCGGGCAUUGGAACUUCUACAGGUCAGUCGUCACUCUCGCAACAUGCACCUGCAUGCAUGCAUUGUUAGAAUAGCCAUCAAGAAGGCUGAUGCUGUGACAUGGUGCAUGUAAAGGUUGGAGAAUGAGCACCUGAACAAUGUGGGCAAGUUCAGGGCUGUGAAGACGGUGCCGCUACCCUUCUGUGAGUUGGCUUCCGAUGAUUGAGGAACUGCAUGCCUAACAGUUGUACAUAGACGGACGAAGCUGGGGGCUCUUUUGGGAGGAUGCUGCAGAGCAC
rnacentral:lncRNA from 1 species